CCUGAUAACUGAGUGGGUAAAGAAUCCGCCUGCAAUGCAGGAGACCAGGUUCGAUUCCUGGGUCAGGA
rnacentral:tRNA from 1 species